AAAAAAGAACAAAAUAAUACCAUUUGCAGCAACAUGGAUAGAACUAGAGAUUCUCAUACUAAGUUAUCAGAAAAAGACUAAUACCACAUGGUAUCACUUAUAUCUGUAAUCUAAUAUAUGGCACAAUGAACCUAUCUACAGAAAGAAAGCAAACUCAUGGACAUGGAGAAUAGACUUGUUGUUGCCAUGGGGGAGUGGGAUGGACUAGGAGUUUGAGGUUGGUAGAUGCAGUCUAUUGCAUUUGGAGUAGGCAGACAAUGAAAUCCUGCUAUGUAGUGCAGGGAACUCUAUCCAGUCAUUUGUGAUAGAGCAUGAUGGAGAAUAAUGUAAGAAAGAGAAUGUAUGUAUAUGCAUAGUUGGGUCACUUUGCUGGAUAGCAGAAAUUGACAGAACAUUGUAAAUCAACUGUAAUAUAAAAUUAAAAAAAAUAAAAUCAAUGGAUGCUAAAAUUAGAGGGGAAAAUUUUGAUGAAGGGCACAAAAUUUACAUGGACACAAAUAUAUCACCACAAAUUAGAUUUGAAGUAUCUCCAUAGAAGUUACAUUAAAAAACAAAACAACAAUAACAAAAUAACCGUAAUUGUAUCAUGGAGAAACCUAAUUAUAGAAUGUUGGGGAGGAAAUAUUUUCUUUCUACACUUCCAAGUUCUUUGGCUGGUCUAAUAACCAAAUUGGCAUAAGAUAGAUUAAUAGGAGAAAGAAAAUUAAUUACAUAAAUUUGAGUUCUCCAUAAAAAUGUAGGACACAAGGACAAGUCUGGCAAUUGAGGCUUAUAUGCAGUCCUGACCUAAGGAAUGGAAUGGGGGGCCUGGAGCUUCAAAGGUGAGGGUGGUAAUUCACAGGACAAUGAGAAGAAAUGUUUAGUAAUUAUAUAUUUGCCCUGCCAUACAGAUAGGUCAUUUAGAUUAAAAAUUAUCUCUGAUAACAGCUCUCUUUCUGAGCCAGACCACCUAUCCAAAUUCUUUUAGGUGGUUAAAGGGAAGGUGAAAAUAUCUUCAUGAGUCUAUUGGGGCUUGGUUGUUUUUAGCUCAAAAUAAUCUACUUGCCAAAGUAGCACAUUUUGAGGCAGUUCAUUCCAAACCUCUUCAAUAACAUAAUGAAAUAUUUAUUAAAUGAUCAAAAUUAGUAUCAUUGAUGUUGGGUCAUGGGCCUUUAGUUAUAAUGCACUAAGGAAAACACAACUGUUUCAUUCAUGCCAAAGACACAAAAUCUAAAUUUCAUUAUGAGGAAAUAUUAUACAAUCCCAAACUGAGGAAUAUUUUACAGACAAACUAGUUUGCAAUCUUUAUAAUGUCAAGAUCAACAAAUAAAAGGACUGAGCAACUCUUCCAGAUUAAAGGAUUCAACAGAUCCGUAGCACUAUGUGAUGCCAGACUGUAGACUGGGGAAGAAAUAUUUAUAAAGGGCAUUCUUGAAUCAAUUUAUAAAAUUUGAAUAUGAGCUAUUGAUUAAAAUUUAAUAGUACCAUAUUACUGUGAAAAUUUGUGGUCUUGAUGAUUUUACUGUAGUUAGAAUAUCUUUGUUCUUUGGAAACAUUCUAAUGUAUUUAGGGGUAAUAAGGAACAAUGUCUCCAACUCUAUUUCAUACAGUUCAGAAAAAUAUAUCUGCACUGAUGACAGAAAGAUAGAAUCAUAAAAUAAUUGGGGCAAAAAGUAAGUAAUUAGUCAAUUGGGAUAAAGGGCUUAUUGGGGUCUUAGAAGUAUUCUUGCAAAUAUUUUGUAAGUCUGAACUAACAUUAAAAUAAAAACUAACGAGAAAAGUAAUACAUAAUCCCUCAUCUGAGGAUUCAUAAGAACCCUUCCAAUCUUGCUAAUUAUAAUUGUAACUUCUAUGAUCACUAGAAAAGGAUAUCGAUGAUUACCUUAAAACUGACUGAUAAUUGUAUGUAAAUUUUAUAGGGAAAUUUGUAAUGACAUAAUGUAUAUGCAUAUUGUUUACUGAAUUACGUUUUUAUUGUAUUAAAAAAAUUUGUCUUUAAAGAGAGAUUCCUCUAUAAUUUGCACCUGUUUCCCCUGUAAUUUUCCUGUACUAUGAUAAUUUUUCAUGGAUACUAUUUUAAUAUCAUGCUGAAAAUUUAGAAAAUGCAAUUCAGCAUAUAUAAAAUGUUCUGUUUUUAUAUGAUUUCUAAAUUCAGAUUAUUCUAUUCCACUAACUUUUUAAAUUUUAUUUUUUUAAUUUUUAUUUUUUAUGGCUGCACCUGCAGCAUAGGGAAGUUCCUGGACUAGAAGUAGAAUCUGAGCUGCAGCUGUGGGCGUAUGCCAUAGCCACAGCCAAUGUCAGAUCCAAAGUUCCCAUUCUGGCUCAGCAGGUUAAGAAUCCAACUAGUAUCCAUGAAGAUGCAGGUUCCAUCCCUUGGCUCAUUCAGUGAUUUAAAGGAUCCAGCGUUGCCACAAGCUAAGGUGUAGGUGGCUCAGAUGCGGCAUUGCUGAAGCUGUGCGCUAGGCUGGCAGCUGCAGCCCUGAAUCAAGACCUAGCCUGGGAACUUCCAUAUGCCCAGAUAUGGCCCUAAAAUAGCAAAAAACAAAAAACAAAAAACCUCAGAGGUCAGAGCAGAACAGAUGAGUUGAACAAGUUUGGGCUGAAAAGAACACUGAAAUGACCUAUUCUUACCAUUUCACAAUUUUCUUUUCCUAGAUCACAACCUACCUCAGUUGAUUCAAGCUAAAUAAUACAUUGUUUUUUAAGUACAGUAAUUCAUAAAGCAAGCGUACAAUGUUGUGCCUAUUGCAUUAAAGUUUAAUAUGGCAUGGUGUAUGAGUCAGAGAGUAUAUUCAUAAACAAUAAUAGAAUAUUAAAAAAGGAAGUUAGCAUAUUUAAACACAUCUGUGUCUUUUUAAAGUAAAAUUUGUUUCAUCAUUCUCAUUGUUAAGUGAAUCAAAGGCAUUUCGAAAUAACCAUUUGUCCUCCAUUAACUUAUUUUUCAUAACUUAUUAUGUACAUGAAGUUAUUCUUAAUUAUUGCAAUAUUUGAAAUUAUCUUUGUCACAGGUACUGCUUCCAACUGUAUCAAAGACAGUGUUUGUGUCUAGAACUUACAAUACAGAUAUACAGAUAAUUAGCUCUGCUCCUUAUCAUACCUGAAUAAAGAAAAUCAUUAAAAUACACUAAAAUAAACAUUCUUCCUAACUAUAUGCGCUAUAAGAAUGUAUCUUUGCUCUCUGUUUUCUAUAUCUAACUCAAUUAAAUACUACUGAUAUAUACCUGAUAGGUUUUCCUUUUGAGAUUCCAAUUUUGUACUGUUUCUGUAAGAAAGUAAUGAUAGUUAAACUCUCAUCUCUUUUAAGCAAUGUUUCUGAUGAUCAGGUUCACCUUCUUGGCUUAGUUAAUUCAAGAUCUAAGCUGUCCUCAUUUUUAAGCUAUCCUCAAUUUUACAGGCUAUAACUACUGGGUUCUGUUUUACUUUUUAUUUAAAUUACAUUAUAUCCGAAUAGUAAAAUGGUAAGUGUUUUCCCUGGAAAUAGGUGCCUAAAAUAUUACCAAUUUAUGCACAUUUUUUCUAAAGUGUAGUAGUGGUAUGCUUGAAAAUAUAAUUUGCAUUAUUAGCAUAUUACUUUGUUCCAUAUUUUCAUAUACAUGAUGUUAUAUUAUUUUAGCUGUGUAUGAUGAAGCUUAAAAACUAGUGUUUCGAGGAGUUCCUAUUGGGUGCAGCAGAAACGAAUCCGACCAGGAACCUUGACUCGCUCAGUGUGUUAAGGAUCUGGUGUUGCUGUGAGCUGUGGUGUAGAUUGCAGACGUGGCUCAGCUCCUGCGUUGCUGUGGCUGUGGUGUAGGCCAGCAGCUGUAGCUCCAGGGACCCCUAGCCUGGGAACUUCCAUAUGCGUGGGUGUGGCCC
rnacentral:lncRNA from 1 species